CCUACGGGCGGCAGCAGUGAGGAAUAUUUGUCAAUGGCCGGAAGGCUGAACCAGCCAAGCCGCGUGAAGGACGAAGGUGUCAAGCAUUGUAAACUUCUUUUGUCAAGGGACAAAAUCAGGCACGAGAGCCUGACCGAGGGUACUUGAAGAAAAAGCAUCGGCUAACUCCGUGCCAGCAGCCGCGGUAAUACGGAGGAUGUGAGCGUUAUCCGGAUUUAUUGGGUUUAAAGGGUGCGUAGGCGGGCUGUUAAGCCAGCGGUAAAAGCCCGGGGCUCAACCCCGGCUAGCCGUUGAAACUGGCUGUCUUGAGAUGGAGAGAGGUAUGCGGAAUGCGCAGUGUAGCGGUGAAAUGCUUAGAUAUUGCGAAGAACUCCGAUUGCGAAGGCAGCAUACCGGCGGGGAUCUGACGCUGAGGCACGAAGGCGUGGGUAUCGAACAGGAUUAGAUACCCGGGUAGUC
rnacentral:rRNA from 1 species